GAUGAAGAACGUAGCGAAAUGCGAUAAGUAAUGUGAAUUGCAGAAUUCAGUGAAUCAUCGAAUCUUUGAACGCACAUUGCGCCCGCCAGUAUUCUGGCGGGCAUGCCUGUUCGAGCGUCAUUUCAACCAUCAAGCCCUAGGCUUGCGUUGGAGCCCUGCGGCUGCCGCAGGCUCCCAAAUCCAGUGGCGGGCUCGUCGUCGUACCGAGUGCAGUAAACAUCCUCGCUCAGGGAACGUGACGGGUUCUUGCCGUGAAACCCCCCACAUAUCAAGGUUGACCUCGGAUCAGGUAGGAAUACCCGCUGAACUUAAGCAUAUCAAUAAGCGGAGGA
rnacentral:misc_RNA from 1 species